UGAAAUUACAACUUGACAAGUUUGCUUGACAAGUGGACAAACUUCCAUCUGAAGACCCCUGAUUAGGAGGCACUCAUCACAUCUCGGGGUCUCCCAUUGCACUUUUGAACAGCUCUAAAGGUUCGGAAGCUUUGUCUGAUAACAAAUCUAAAUUCCUCUCUUUGCAAAUUUUAGGAUCAUGAGUUCACAGGACCAAACAUUUAAAGCUACAAAGGACCCGAGAGACUGUUUACUCCAACCUUCUUGUUUUGUAGAUGAGGAAACUGAGGGCAAGAAGUUGUCCAGACUGGAGUCAGGAGGACCAGCAUUCAAAUCUGACCUUAGACACUUCCAAUCUAUGUGACUCUGGAUUCCAUCAUCAAGAACUAUCUUCAAGAUUCUGUACUUCUGAAUUUUGGUCUUUGCCUAUGGCCUGGCAUUUAAACUUCUACCCUGAGAUCUUGAGCUUCUGAUUGGUGAACAUUUACCUCUUCUAACACAGACCUAGAACCACCAUAUCAUCUAGUCAUCUCCAUAGCAUGUUCCUGAGUGUAUGCCCUCUUCUCCCUUGCUCCUCCCAAAUCUGCUUUCCCACUCUAGCUUUGAAAACAAUAAUCAAGUCAAUACUGCCAUUCUUGGAAAAGGUAUGUCAAUCAGUCAUUCUGUGAUUACAAUCGCCUCAUGACUUUCUUGUCCAAAAUAUUCCUUCCUGGCCUCCAUUCUCCUCUGCAGGUUAUCUUUCCUCAUUAGAAUGUAAGAUCCUUGUGGGUAGACUCUGUCUUACUUAUUGUAUUUGUACCCUUGGUGCCCAGCUCAUGUUGUUGUUGUUAUUUAGUCAUUUCAGUCAGGUUUGAUUCUUUGUGAUCUGGUUUGGAUUUUUCUUGGCAAAGAUCCUGAAGUGAUUGCUAUUUUCUUCUCCAGCUCAUUUUUGCAAAUGAUGAAAAUGAAGCAAAUAGGGUUAAAUGACUUGCUCAGGGUCACACAGUUUAUAUGGGUCUGAGGUUAGAUUUGAAUUUAGGAAGAUAAUUCUUCCUAACCAUAGACCCAGCACUCUAUCCUCUGUGCAGCUGGGCUGCCCAAAUGAAUGCUUUUCCAUUCAUUCAUUCAUUCAUUCAUUCAUUCAUUCAUUCAUUCAUUCAUUCAUUCAUUCAUCAUGAGCAGUUAUUUUGCCAUGGAAUGUCAGCCUGGCAAAGUAAUUAAAAGGUGGCAUUUUCACUGAGGAUUUCUUUUGCUUCCAAGUUUCAGUUUAAGGGGCUUAAGUAGAUUUGACUGAGAAGAAAAAGGAUUAGGUAACUGCUCUAGCCCCGGAUCAUUCUGUCUCACAGAUUUAAUUUAAUGAAAAAAAGGGGGGGGGAGGCUUAUCUAAUGGAUGAUUUUAGUUACAGCAGAAUUAAAAGACUCGAGGC
rnacentral:lncRNA from 1 species